GAUGAACGCUGGCGGCGUGCCUAAUACAUGCAAGUCGAGCGAACAGACGAGGAGCUUGCUCCUCUGACGUUAGCGGCGGACGGGUGAGUAACACGUGGAUAACCUACCUAUAAGACUGGGAUAACUUCGGGAAACCGGAGCCAAUACCGGAUAAUAUAUUGAACCGCAUGGUUCAAUAGUGAAAGACGGUUUUGCUGUCACUUAUAGAUGGAUCCGCGCCGCAUUAGCUAGUUGGUAAGGUAACGGCUUACCAAGGCGACGAUGCGUAGCCGACCUGAGAGGGUGAUCGGCCACACUGGAACUGAGACACGGUCCAGACUCCUACGGGAGGCAGCAGUAGGGAAUCUUCCGCAAUGGGCGAAAGCCUGACGGAGCAACGCCGCGUGAGUGAUGAAGGUCUUCGGAUCGUAAAACUCUGUUAUUAGGGAAGAACAAAUGUGUAAGUAACUAUGCACGUCUUGACGGUACCUAAUCAGAAAGCCACGGCUAACUACGUG
rnacentral:rRNA from 1 species